rnacentral:rRNA from 1 species
GACGAACGCUGGCGGCGUGCUUAACACAUGCAAGUCGAACGGGUCUGCCCUGUUUUUUGCGGGGUGGGUCAGUGGCGAACGGGUGAGUAACACGUGAGUAACCUGCCCCUCACUUCUGGAUAACCGCUUGAAAGGGUGGCUAAUACGGGGUGUUCUGGCUGUGCCGCAUGGUGUGGCUGGGAAAGAUUCACUUUUGUGGUGUUUUGGUGGGGGAUGGGCUCGCGGCCUAUCAGCUUGUUGGUGGGGUGAUGGCCUGCCAAGGCUUUGACGGGUAGCCGGCCUGAGAGGGUGGGCGGUCACACUGGGACUGAGAUACGGCCCAGACUCCUGCGGGAGGCAGCAGUGGGGGGUAUUGCACAAUGGGGGAAGCCUGAUGCAGCGACGUCGCGUGAGGGAUGGAGGCCUUCGGGUUGUGAACCUCUUUCGCCGGUGAAGAAGGUCCUGCUCUUUGUGGUGGGGUUGACGGUAGCCGGGUUAUGAAGCGCCGGCUAACUACGUG